rnacentral:misc_RNA from 1 species
GAUGAGAACGUAGCGAAAUGCGAUAAGUAAUGUGAAUUGCAGAAUUCAGUGAAUCAUCGAAUCUUUGAACGCACCUUGCGCCCUUUGGCCAUUCCGAAGGGCAUGCCUGUUUGAGUAUCAUGAACACCUCAACUCUCAUGGCUCGCCAUGAUGAGCUUGGACUUUGGGGGUCUUGCUGGCCUGUGGUCGGCUCCUCUCAAAUGGAUCAGCUUGCCAGUGUUUGGUGGCAUCACAGGUGUGAUAACUAUCUGCGCUUGUGGUUUUCCAUCAGAUAACCUUCAGUGAUGGAGGUUCGCUGGAGCUCAUAAACGUCUCCCCUAAGCGGGGACAGCCCUUUGAAUGUUUGAUCUCAAAUCAGGUAGGACUACCCGCUGAACUUAAGCAUAUCAAUAAGCGGAGGA